rnacentral:tRNA from 1 species
AGGGCUUUAUCUUAAUUAAAAGAGUCUGGGUUGCAUUCAGAAAAUGUAGGUUAAAAUCCUGCAAGCCUUA